UACGGGGGGGGCAAGCGUUGUUCGGAAUUACUGGGCGUAAAGGGCUCGUAGGCGGCCAACUAAGUCGGACGUGAAAUCCCUCGGCUUAACCGGGGAACUGCGUCUGAUACUGGAUGGCUUGAAUCCGGGAGAGGGAUGCAGAAUUCCAGGUGUAGCGGUGAAAUGCGUAGAUAUCUGGAGGAAUACCGGUGGCGAAGGCGGCAUCCUGGACCGGCAUUGACGCUGAGGAGCGAAAGCCAGGGGAGCAAACGGG
rnacentral:rRNA from 1 species